AUACGUAGGGUGCAAGCGUUAAUCGGAAUUACUGGGCGUAAAGCGUGCGCAGGCGGUUUUGUAAGACAGAGGUGAAAUCCCCGGGCUCAACCUGGGAACUGCCUUUGUGACUGCAAGGCUAGAGUACGGCAGAGGGGGAUGGAAUUCCGCGUGUAGUAGUGAAAUGCGUAGAUAUGCGGAGGAACUCCUAUGGCGAAGGCAUUCCCCGACUCCUGCAGUGAUGCCAACGCGCGAAAGCGUGGAGAAAAAACGGGGUUAGAUACCGUGAGACGCCACUCACACAGCAGCUUCAACGGUGUUUUGGGUCUUCAGUCACUCAGUGCUGAAGCUAACGCAUGAAGUUAUCCGCCUGGGGAGUACGGCCGCAAGGUUGAAACUCAAAUGAAUUGACGGGG
rnacentral:rRNA from 1 species